rnacentral:rRNA from 1 species
CCAUGCUUUUGUGUGUCAUGGUGGAAAGGCUUCUGUUUUGGGGGCUGGUGUGGGAUGAGCUUGCGGCCUAUCAGCUUGUUGGUGGGGUAAUGGCCUACCAAGGCGUCGACGGGUAGCCGGCCUGAGAGGGUGUACGGCCACAUUGGGACUGAGAUACGGCCCAGACUCCUGCGGGAGGCAGCAGUGGGGAAUAUUGCACAAUGGGCGCAAGCCUGAUGCAGCGACGCCGCGUGAGGGAUGACGGCCUUCGGGUUGUAAACCUCUUUCGCUGGGGACGAAGCUUUUUUGGUGACGGUACCUGGAGAAGAAGCACCGGCUAACUACGUGCCAGCAGCCGCGGUAAUACGUAGGGUGCGAGCGUUGUCCGGAAUUACUGGGCGUAAAGAGCUCGUAGGUGGUUUGUCGCGUCGUCUGUGAAAUUCCGGGGCUUAACUUCGGGCGUGCAGGCGAUACGGGCAUAACUUGAGUGCUGUAGGGGAGACUGGAAUUCCUGGUGUAGCGGUGAAAUGCGCAGAUAUCAGGAGGAACACCGAUGGCGAAGGCAGGUCUCUGGGCAGUAACUGACGCUGAGGAGCGAAAGCAUGGGUAGCGAACA